UACGAGAGGCCCAAACGUUAUUCGGAAUUACUGGGCUUAAAGAGUUCGUAGGCGGCGCAGAAAGUAGGGUGUGAAAGCCCUCGGCUCAACCGAGGAAUUGCGCUCUAAACUACUGUGCUUGAGGAAUCUAGAGGUGAGCGGAACUGAUGGUGGAGCGGUGAAAUGCGUUGAUAUCAUCAGGAACACCGGGAGGCGAAGGCGGCUCACUGGGGAUUUUCUGACGCUGAGGAACGAAAGCCAGGGGAGCGAACGGGG
rnacentral:rRNA from 1 species